rnacentral:rRNA from 1 species
GAUGAACGCUGGCGGCGUGCCUAAUACACGCAAGUCGAGCGAACAGACGAGGAGCUUGCUCCUCUGACGUUAGCGGCGGACGGGUGAGUAACACGUGGAUAACCUACCUAUAAGACUGGGAUAACUUCGGGAAACCGGAGCUAAUACCGGAUAACAUGUUGAACCGCAUGGUUCAACAGUGAAAGACGGUCUUGCUGUCACUUAUAGAUGGAUCCGCGCCGCAUUAGCUAGUUGGUAAGGUAACGGCUUACCAAGGCAACGAUGCGUAGCCGACCUGAGAGGGUGAUCGGCCACACUGGAACUGAGACACGGUCCAGACUCCUACGGGAGGCAGCAGUAGGGAAUCUUCCGCAAUGGGCGAAAGCCUGACGGAGCAACGCCGCGUGAGUGAAGAAGGUCUUCGGAUCGUAAAACUCUGUUAUUAGGGAAGAACAAAUGUGUAAGUAACUAUGCACGUCUUGACGGUACCUAAUCAGAAAGCCACGGCUAACUACGUG